GGACUACAAGGGUAUCUAAUCCCGUUCGCUCCCCUGGCUUUCGUGUCUCAGCGUCAGCACAGCCCCAGCUACCUGUUUUCACCAUUGGCGUUCCAAAUGAUAUCUACGCAUUUCACCGCUCCACCAUUUGUUCCGGUAGCCCCUAGCUGGCUCAAGACUCCCAGUAUACCAAGCAGUUCCACGGUUGAGCCGUGGGAUUUCACAAAGUACUUAGGAGUCCGCCUACACACGCUUUAAGCCCAGUGAUUCCGCCUAACGCUUGGCACCUCUGUCUUACCGCGGCUGCUGGCAC
rnacentral:rRNA from 1 species